CCUACGGGAGGCAGCAGUGAGGAAUAUUGGUCAAUGGCCGAGAGGCUGAACCAGCCAAGUCGCGUGAGGGAAGACGGCCCUACGGGUUGUAAACCUCUUUUGUCGGGGAGCAAAUCGAGUCACGUGUGACUCAUUCAGAGGACCCGAAGAAAAAGCAUCGGCUAACUCCGUGCCAGCAGCCGCGGUAAUACGGAGGAUGCGAGCGUUAUCCGGUUUUAUUGGGUUUAAAGGGUGCGCAGGCGGAGGUGCAAGCAAGCGGUAAAAUUGCGGGGCUCAACCCCGUACUGCCGUUGAAACUGCAUGCCUUGAGUGCGCGAGAGGUAUGCGGAAUGCGUGGUGUAGCGGUGAAAUGCAUAGAUAUCACGCAGAACUCCGAUUGCGAAGGCAGCAUACCGGCGCGCAACUGACGCUCAUGCACGAAAGCGUGGGUAUCGAACAGGAUUAGAUACCCGGGUAGUC
rnacentral:rRNA from 1 species